CUGCAGCAAAUUUAGCCAAUUAUACAUUUUCCCCCCCAUAAAGGCUUGAGUGUAAAGACUAUACACAGCAGCUUUCUCACCAGUGUACAUAGCCUGUUGCCAAUACAGGUUGCCCUAAGGGAUGAUGGAGGGAGUU